AUUGAACGCUGGCGGAAUGCUUUACACAUGCAAGUCGAACGGUAGAGGGGGCAACCCCUCGAGAGUGGCGAACGGGUGAGUAAUAUAUCGGAACGUGCCCAGUCGUGGGGGAUAACGUAGCGAAAGUUACGCUAAUACCGCAUACGACCUAAGGAUGAAAGCGGGGGAUCGCAAGACCUCGCGCGCUUGGAGCGGCCGAUAUCAGAUUAGGUAGUGGUUGGGGUAAAGGCUCACCAAGCCAACGAUCUGUAGCUGGUCUGAGAGGACGACCAGCCACACUGGAACUGAGACACGGUCCAGACUCCUACGGGAGGCAGCAGUGGGGAAUUUUGGACAAUGGACGCAAGUCUGAUCCAGCCAUUCCGCGUGCAGGAUGAAGGCCCUCGGGUUGUAAACUGCUUUUGUACGGAACGAAAAGGUCUCUCUUAAUACGGGGGACUCAUGACGGUACCGUAAGAAUAAGCACCGGCUAACUACGUGCCAGCCGCCGCGGUAA
rnacentral:rRNA from 1 species